AGUAAAGUCAGCUAAUCUCAAGCUUUUGGGCCCAUACCCCAAACAUGUUGGUUAAAAUCCUUCCUCUACUA
rnacentral:tRNA from 6 species